rnacentral:rRNA from 1 species
AGUGAACGCUGGCGGUAGGCCUAACACAUGCCAGUCGAACGGCAGCACAGUAAGAGCUUGCUCUUACGGGUGGCGAGUGGCGGACGGGUGAGGAAUACAUCGGAAUCUACUUUUUCGUGGGGGAUAACGUAGGGAAACUUACGCUAAUACCGCAUACGACCUACGGGUGAAAGCAGGGGAUCUUCGGACCUUGCGCGAUUGAAUGAGCCGAUGUCGGAUUAGCUAGUUGGCGGGGUAAAGGCCCACCAAGGCGACGAUCCGUAGCUGGUCUGAGAGGAUGAUCAGCAAAACUGGAACUGAGACACGGUCCUGACGCCAACGGGAGGCAGCAGUGGGGAAUAUUGGACAAUGGGCGCAAGCCUGAUCCAGCCAUACCGCGUGGGUGAAGAAGGCCUGCGGGUUGUAAAGCCCUUUUGUUGGGAAAGAAAAGAAGCAGGUUAAUACCCCGCUGUUCUGACGGUACCAAAUGAAUAAGCACCGGCUAACUUCGUG